rnacentral:rRNA from 1 species
CUACGGGGCGCAGCAGUGAGGAAUAUUGGUCAAUGGGCGCGAGCCUGAACCAGCCAUCCCGCGUGCAGGAUGACGGCCCUAUGGGUUGUAAACUGCUUUUCUAUGCCAAGAAACCUGAUUACGUGUAAUCAGUUGCCGGUAGCAUAGGAAUAAGCAUCGGCUAACUCCGGGCCAGCAGCCGUGGUAAUACGGAGGAUGCAAGCGUUAUCCGGAUUCAUUGGGUUUAAAGGGUGCGCAGGUGGGCUUGUAAGUCAGUGGUGAAAUGCUGCCGCUUAACGGUAGAACUGCCAUUGAUACUGCGAGUCUUGAGUAUGGUUGAGGUAGGCGGAAUGUGUUGUGUAGCGGUGAAAUGCAUAGAUAUGACACAGAACGCCAAUUGCGAAGGCAGCUUACUAAGCCAUUACUGACGCUGAGGCACGAAAGCGUGGGGAGCGAACAGGAUUAGAUACCCGGGUAGUC